AACGAACGCUGGCGGCAUGCCUAACACAUGCAAGUCGAACGAACCCUCCGGAGUUAGUGGCGCACGGGUGCGUAACGCGUGGGAAUCUGCCCUUUGCUUCGGAAUAACUCAGGGAAACUUGUGCUAAUAGCGGAUGAUGUCUUCGGACCAAAGAUUUAUCGGCACGGGAUGAGCCCGCGUAGGAUUAGGUAGUUGGUGGGGUAAAGGCUUACCAAGCCGACGAUUCUUAGCUGGUCUGAGAGGAUGAUCAGCAACACUGGGACUGAGACACGGCCCAGACUCCUACGGGAGGCAGCAGUGGGGAAUAUUGGACAAGGGGCGCAAGCGUGAUCCAGCAAUGCCGCGUAAGUGAUGAAGGCCCUCGGGUCGUAAAGCUCUUUUACCAGAGAUGAUAAUGACAGUACCUGGAGAAUAAGCUCCGGCUAACUCCGUG
rnacentral:rRNA from 1 species